AAUUUGAUAUUCCGAAGUCGCCCAAACAAGAAAAUGCAAAAUGGCUCCAUAGCGCCCCCUAAGGUGAAAAUUCACACUAUUGACUGUCACGCCUUUACGCUUUGUCAAAAUGACACAAAAAUUGACACACACGUGUAUCUCAAUAAGAUCUACAAAAAAGUCAGUGCGGGCAUAUCUGUCAAAUGUACGGUUAAAGGGUUAUUCCGCAUUUUUUGCCGAUCCGCACACAUUGGAAUUUCGCUAACUCCUCCGAAGGCUUUCGUUCCACCGGCACCACAUUUGCUCAGGCCAAUCUACACCCCAUGGCCAUUAAAAGUUAUUCAAAUCAUGACGCUGCACCC